rnacentral:rRNA from 1 species
AAAUAGAUACCCGGGUAGUCCAUGCCGUAAACGUUGGGAACUAGAUGUGGGGACCAUUCCACGGUCUCCGUGUCGCAGCUAACGCAUUAAGUUCCCCGCCUGGGGAGUACGGCCGCAAGGCUAAAACUCAAAGGAAUUGACGGGGGCCCGCACAAGCGGCGGAGCAUGCGGAUUAAUUCGAUGCAACGCGAAGAACCUUACCAAGGCUUGACAUAUACGAGAACGCUGCAGAAAUGUAGAACUCUUUGGACACUCGUAUACAGGUGGUGCAUGGUUGCCGUCAGCUCGUGUCGUGAGAUGUUGGGUUAAGUCCCGCAACGAGCGCAACCCUCGUCGUAUGUUGCCAGCACGUAAUGGUGGGAACUCAUAUGAGACUGCCGGGGUCAACUCGGAGGAAGGUGGGGAUGAGGUCAAAUCAUCAUGCCCCUUAUGUCUUGGGCUUCACGCAUGCUACAAUGGCCGGUACAAAGGGCUGCAAUACCGCAAGGUGGAGCGAAUCCCAAAAAAGCCGGUCUCAGUUCGGA